GUUAAAUGCAUCAAGUGUCACCGAUACAAAACCAGUUUAGCACCACAUAAAAUGUUGAUGCAGCAUGUUUGACUUUAAUUUUGCACCAUUCCCUCUCCUCUCAUAAAUAACCAACAGUCCCCAAGUAUUGCCUUGACUUGGGUCUUGCAGCUCGGUAUAAAGUUUAAUGUGGUAACUUUCCCUGGUAGUGAGGCAGGCUGUAACAAUGGACCUCCUUGCAUUUCACAUCAGUGAAUAAUUUCUGAGAUAUAGUUGAAGAAGUUGGGGGGAAAAAAUCUAUGUGUAGUUGAGAAAUAAUGAUGCUUAGGAAAAAUUCAAGAGCCCUAACAUAAACUUUCAGUAAGUUAUAGGUGCGGAGACAAAAGUGCUACAAACAUCCCCGAUUGCUUUUACUUUAAUGCAUAUUGUUGGUGGAGAUGGAGUGAAUUUUAAGAUGUUUUUAAAGUUAUUUUUUUUCACAUAGCAGUGGCACAAGGUCGAUGAUGGAGUGAUUUUAAUAUGUUUUUAAAGUUGUUUUUUUUGGCAGUAAUCUCUAAUGUGGCAUUACAUUUUAUAAACAUGUUUUGUUUGUAAUGGCUUGAUAUGUAAAGUCGAAACAGUGGUAGACAAAGUUUUCAGAUCCUAUACUCCAGUACUAAUAACACACUGUAAAAAUACACUGUUACAACUAAAAGUCCUGCAUUGAAAAUGUUGCUCAAGUACACAUACUUUUUAAAAGUCAAAAAACACAAUCAAGUGACAUCACAAACAAGUGUUAAAUAAAUUAGUCAUCUGUAAAGUAAGCUUUCAGAUAAUUAAAACGGAGGAAAACCUACAGUGUUUCCCUCUGAAAUAUAGUGAGGUAAAGUAAAAAGUAGGAUGAAAGGAAAAGACUCUAUGCUUUCAGUGGAUUCGCUUUACUACAGUCGUGCGUACUAUUAUGGGAUUUUUGAAUGGGAUAGUAAAAAGCUGUUGUUAGGGUAUACACGAACUACAUCGCGGUCGCCCGUAUUAAACGUCACCACUACAAACACUGUAAAAACACGUUAAAACGCCAUCGAAAAAUAUUAUAAACAGAUAAAUCUACAAGUUUGAGUGCGAGUCUGUGAAGCUGUAACGGCGGACAAGUGUGUUUCUGUGUCCUUUCUGUGUCCUUUCUGUGUCCGCUGUGAUGACGUCAAUGUCCCCGACAAACACUGUAGUCCCAUUUAGCUAUGUUUUAAAAGACGAGUAAAGCGGAAGUAUUUUAUGAUGCAAAACAAAACGUUGAAACAUGUCGCCUGGGUUAACCACAGACCUUAUUUAGGGCAUUUUACCGAAAACCCAGUUAAAAAACCUAUAGACUUUUAAGACGAGGGAACCGGAAGUGCUGAGAGGAUGGACAUCCGCGUUGUAGGACUCGCCUGUAACACCUGAAGGCACGGUUUUUUUGAAUUACAUUUAUACCUGCUUAUCCAAGACGUGUGGAGGAUACCCCCCACGAUGACAAAACUGAAGGAAAACUACAAACGGAGUGGGAGAUCUGCAGCUUCAGUGGAUAUGUCAUCCACUGAGGAAGACGAGAAACAUUAUACAGACCAACUGAAGGAACAUCUGCAGAUCUGAGCUUAAUCUAAGUCUAAGUUUAGGGUCAGAUCACCCAAAAAGUCACAAGAUCUCAUUUCCAGAGAAACAACUGCAGGCCAAUGGGACGAUGCCAGGACAACAAGAUCUUGUGACAAUUCGGUAGUCCCAGAGACAUCGAUGUUAUG